rnacentral:rRNA from 1 species
UACGUAGGGUGCAAGCGUUAAUCGGAAUUACUGGGCGUAAAGCGUGCGCAGGCGGUUUUGUAAGUCUGAUGUGAAAUCCCCGGGCUCAACCUGGGAAUUGCAUUGGAGACUGCAAGGCUGGAGUCUGGCAGAGGGGGGUAGAAUUCCACGUGUAGCAGUGAAAUGCGUAGAUAUCAUCUGGAACGCCAAUGGUGAAGACAGCUCGCUGGGGGGUGUA